GUAACUUAUGUAUUGUUGCCUGUUUUUCUUUGAGACAUACAGACAAAAUGGCAGCCGGCUCAAGUCAAGAAACCGAAGUCACGGCUAUCAAAGGUUGUGCUAUGUGUACUAUUGUUUGUCUGUGGGUUUUUUUCUUCAUUUUUUGGCCAUGGCGUUGUUAGCUUAUUUCGACUUAUGACUUUUAAUGUCCCUUUGGUAUCUUUUGUCUCUCUUUCAUAUGCUUGCAUCUAUUGUAAAGAAAACUACAACCAAGACGAGGAAUUUCAUUCUAAUCUCUAAAACAGAACAUUUAAGUAAAGGCUGUU
rnacentral:lncRNA from 1 species